rnacentral:tmRNA from 1 species
UCGCCGCUUAAAUCCGGUGAGCCUUGCAACAGCACGCUGGUGGGCUGGGCAAGGGGGUAGCAAUACCUCCCGGCUGCAAGGGAAUUUGCAUCAGCUGGCCUUCUGCUGGGUACCUUGGCAUAGGGCGAGAUCCAAGGGUGCUGGCUGCCUACAUAGCGUGCGUCUGCGCGAUGGGGGCGGUGAGAUCAAAAGCAGAACGCUAAACAUGUAGACCUGCUCAACGAAGGCUUGCGGACGCGGGUUCAAUUCCCGCCAGCUCCACCA